AGGGUGAGAAAAGUGUGGAGAGAAAAACGGAGUUCGGCCCAAAAUCAUUCAUUAGAGGGGAUAAACAAGAAACUGAGAUUGGUGAUUUAACUACCUAACUAGGGUGAUUAUCAAAAAAAAAAAAACUACCUAACUAGGGUUUACGAAUUUGGAUUUCUAUCUUCCGUGUUGCAGCAGCAGCAGCAGAAUGUCGACGGAAUGCGAUUCCUCUUCUUUGUUCG
rnacentral:lncRNA from 1 species